rfam:Helianthus annuus linkage group 6, whole genome shotgun sequence.
GUUAACAGGCUGAUCUUCCCCAAGAGCUCACAUCGACGGGAAGGUCUGGCACCUCGAUGUCGGCUCUUUGCCACUUGGGGCUGUAGUAUGUUCCAAGGGUUGGGCUAGCUGUUCGCCCAUUAAAGCGGUACGUGAGCUGGGUUCAGAACGUCGUGAGACAGUUC